rnacentral:lncRNA from 1 species
UAGAAUUUACCCACUAUAGUACAAUGAAAGAGAUAAUCUAAUGCUAAAAAAAAGUGGUCCAACUUGGACCUAUAGUUCAAAUGGUGCAAACUAUACAAAACCUUCCAUACAUAGAAACAAUAUCUAAAUAACCAUCUAAAUACAAUAUUUCACAAAAAAAAAAAAUGUAAAUACAAAAUUUUAAGCCCCUAUGCUAACAAUCAUAUUUGAUGCCAACUCGUUUGCCACAUACUUGCACAUAAAAGGCAUCUUGAUUAAACAAAUUAUAUGGAAAAAAGAGUUCAACUCUGUAUCUUGACAAAUCAAUCUUAUUUAGGUGCACAUUCACUCUUAAUCAAGAGAGGGAGAAAUUGAUAUUUGAAAUUAGGCUAAAAUAUGGUUUUAGUCCCUGCAAAUAUGGCUCGUUUUGGUUUUAGUCUCUGGUAAAAAAAAAAAAAUUGUUUUUGGUCCCUGGAGGGACUAUUUUCAAAAACAAAAAAUUUUGCAGGGACCUUUUUUAAAAACAAAAUAUUUUGCAGGGACCAAAAACUACAAAAUUGGUUCAGUUAUAAUGUGUCACGUAUGCAAAUCAUCACAAAAGUGGGAUCAGGGACUAUUUUCAAAAACAAAAAAUUUUGCAGGGACCAAAAACAAUUUUUUUUUUACCAGAGACUAAAACCAAAAUGAGGCAUAUUUGCAGGGACUAAAACCAUAUUUUAGCCUUCAAAUUAAUUCCAAUUUCAAAUUCAUGCUGCAGAAAAAAAAAUAGUGGCAGCCUUGAUUUCCACAAAAAUGGGUGUGUUUGGGAAGGUGUGGAAGGAAAAGAUGAAAGCUAAGGUUGAAAUGAGGAAAAAAGGAAAGAUUCCUUCUUCUCUUUAGCUUUUGUCUUGUGGAGAAAGAUUCCUGAAAAAGUAGCACAAAUAUGGGAUGUAUGAAGAAGAUGAUUUAUGAUUAAGUCAACUUCUCUUCGCCAUUUGUUCUGCACAAAGAAUGAUAAACAGAAAACUUCAUGGCAAAUUAAACCAUACAGUUGUUAUAGGGACUGUUUCUAAUCAUAUAAAUUAAGUCCAAAAUUGUGGAAGCUUUUAACAAAUAUCCACUAAUAACAAAAAAGUAAUUUUUGUAGCAAUGAUAAAUAGUUAAUGAAUGAAGUAGGACAUUAAUCAAUGUACAAAUCGGAAAAGAACAAAAUUCGAAUAAAAAAUAUCAAGAAUGAUGAAGGUAAAAUCUAACCAAGCAAGCAUAAUGAUUAUGUGACAAAAAUAAUGGUAUAAUGUCAAAUUUGUAACACAUACAUUAUUAAUCAAUAAAAAACAUAUAAACAUAUAAAGAACUUUUGACUUCAAUAGAGCAGAAAGCAUGUUAUAAAUUGAUCUCAAAAUUUUAUUUGACAAAUUAAAACAAAAAUUCUUCAACCUUAUAACUUUUGGGAAUGGCUCCACCUAUCAUAGGUAAAGUUUAAAAACUGAAAGUUUAACUAAAUAUGAACAGAUCAUACAAAAACUACUUAUAAUAUAAUAAAAAAAAUCUUCAACCUUAUAACUUUGUGUUUAUCUAAUUCUCUCUAUGCUUGUGAUUUGGUUCAUUUAUGAUCCCGUGCAUGCAUUUCCACAUUAAUAUGCAAAUAUUAGCAAACUAAAAAUGAAUUAAAUUAAAUAGGUUAAUUAGAGAAAGCAAUUCAUGCAAAAAGGAAAAAGAUAAACAUAAAAUGGCAGCAACAAAAUUUUGACUGUAAAUCGGGAAAAUUUUACAACUUAAAAGAAUUGAGUUUCUAAUGAAAAAUUAUAACGAAAAAAAAUGUAAAUUAUAAUGUGGGCAUAGAAAAUUACCACCAAAACACAGGCAUACAAAUGAAGCAAAAUUGUCCCUAAAAAAAAAACAGUAAGAUUAACACAAGACUAAAACAAAAAUAAAUCAAAUGAAUCUUUAAAAUAUUAUUAAGUUCAAAUUUCAGAUUUGAAGAAAACGGGGCUAGGUUACAAAUAAAAGGUAGGGUUUAUGGAUUUAAUGGAGAAAUAUGAGUAAGGAAAUGAGAGAUCACCUACCCUUAAAAAAUAUGGUGUGGUAGAACAAAAAAAAACUGAUGAAAAAAGAAGAACGAUGAAGAACUCAGCAUUGAAAGAAGAAGGAGAAGAAGAAAUGGUGAAAGAGGAGAAGAAAGUACAGGAUGAGAGAAGAGGGGUUUAGGUUAUGAGAGAAAAAGAAAUCUGCUGCUAGGUAUGAGUCUUUGAGGAAGUG